GAUGAACGCUGGCGGCGUGCUUAACACAUGCAAGUCGAACGAAGCACUUGAGUGGAUUCCCUUCGGGGGUGAAGCUUAAGUGACUGAGUGGCGGACGGGUGAGUAACGCGUGGGUAACCUGCCUCAUACAGGGGGAUAACAGUUGGAAACGACUGCUAAUACCGCAUAAGCGCACAGUGCCGCAUGGCAUCGUGUGAAAAAAUUCAUUGGUAUGAGAUGGACCCGCGUCUGAUUAGCUGGUUGGUGAGGUAAUGGCCCACCAAGGCGACGAUCAGUAGCCGGCUUGAGAGAGUGAACGGCCACAUUGGGACUGAGACACGGCCCAAACUCCUACGGGAGGCAGCAGUGGGGAAUAUUGCACAAUGGGGGAAACCCUGAUGCAGCGACGCCGCGUGAGUGAAGAAGUAUUUCGGUAUGUAAAGCUCUAUCAGCAGGGACGAAAGAAGUUGAAAGAUACUUCCUGACGGUACCUGACUAAGAAGCCCCGGCUAACUACGUG
rnacentral:rRNA from 1 species